AUUUCUACAGAUACAUUAGUGGAGCUACUGACUGACCGUUAUAGUAAUGUGAUCAAUGGUUACACCAUCGUCGAUUGUCGAUAUCCAUAUGAAUAUGAGGGAGGUCAUGUUAUUG